GAUAAACGCUGGCGGCGUGCCUAAUACAUGCAAGUCGAGCGAACGGACGAGAAGCUUGCUUCUCUGAUGUUAGCGGCGGACGGGUGAGUAACACGUGGAUAACCUACCUAUAAGACUGGGAUAACUUCGGGAAACCGGAGCUAAUACCGGAUAAUAUUUUGAACCGCAUGGUUCAAAAGUGAAAGACGGUCUUGCUGUCACUUAUAGAUGGAUCCGCGCUGCAUUAGCUAGUUGGUAAGGUAACGGCUUACCAAGGCAACGAUGCAUAGCCGACCUGAGAGGGUGAUCGGCCACACUGGAACUGAGACACGGUCCAGACUCCUACGGGAGGCAGCAGUAGGGAAUCUUCCGCAAUGGGCGAAAGCCUGACGGAGCAACGCCGCGUGAGUGAUGAAGGUCUUCGGAUCGUAAAACUCUGUUAUUAGGGAAGAACAUAUGUGUAAGUAACUGUGCACAUCUUGACGGUACCUAAUCAGAAAGCCACGGCUAACUACGUGCCAGCAGCCGCGGUAAUACGUAGGUGGCAAGCGUUAUCCGGAAUUAUUGGGCGUAAAGCGCGCGUAGGCGGUUUUUUAAGUCUGAUGUGAAAGCCCACGGCUCAACCGUGGAGGGUCAUUGGAAACUGGAAAACUUGAGUGCAGAAGAGGAAAGUGGAAUUCCAUGUGUAGCGGUGAAAUGCGCAGAGAUAUGGAGGAACACCAGUGGCGAAGGCGACUUUCUGGUCUGUAACUGACGCUGAUGUGCGAAAGCGUGGGGAUCAAACAGGAUUAGAUACCCUGGUAGUCCACGCCGUAAACGAUGAGUGCUAAGUGUUAGGGGGUUUCCGCCCCUUAGUGCUGCAGCUAACGCAUUAAGCACUCCGCCUGGGGAGUACGACCGCAAGGUUGAAACUCAAAGGAAUUGACGGGGACCCGCACAAGCGGUGGAGCAUGUGGUUUAAUUCGAAGCAACGCGAAGAACCUUACCAAAUCUUGACAUCCUUUGACAACUCUAGAGAUAGAGCCUUCCCCUUCGGGGGACAAAGUGACAGGUGGUGCAUGGUUGUCGUCAGCUCGUGUCGUGAGAUGUUGGGUUAAGUCCCGCAACGAGCGCAACCCUUAAGCUUAGUUGCCAUCAUUAAGUUGGGCACUCUAAGUUGACUGCCGGUGACAAACCGGAGGAAGGUGGGGAUGACGUCAAAUCAUCAUGCCCCUUAUGAUUUGGGCUACACACGUGCUACAAUGGACAAUACAAAGGGCAGCGAAACCGCGAGGUCAAGCAAAUCCCACAAAGUUGUUCUCAGUUCGGAUUGUAGUCUGCAACUCGACUACAUGAAGCUGGAAUCGCUAGUAAUCGUAGAUCAGCAUGCUACGGUGAAUACGUUCCCGGGUCU
rnacentral:rRNA from 1 species